UCCCCGGAAAUCACGCUCACAUACCUGACAGCCUUGACCUGGGCUCAGCAAUUCAACUCCUCUUGAAUUCAACCCUUUCGGCUUAGCAGCCUCCACUCAAGUAAAGCUGGAUCCUUGACUGUACCACAGAAAAGAAUUUUAAAGCAAGCCAGAGUGAAGCAGGGUUCAUGAGUUUAUGCCGUGUGAAGAGUAUUUGGUUAAGCCAGGUACCCCAGGACUGGAGUCCAAGGAACACCCUACUGACCUACAGAAGUUCAAACCACCCCUGGCAUCUCCCCAACCCCUGUGACCAUGGUCUCCCCCUACUAUCUGACCUGACCAUGGUCUCUCUCCACCAUCAGUCUGCCUCUCACCUUUCUCAGAGCCCAGACCUGUGACUUCUGCCCACCCUGUCUGAAGAGUCAACAAAGCGCCAAAGGAAAGCACCAAAGGAAAACCACACCUCAAGCUCCUCUUUCCGCUUCCAUAUGCCUGAAACCACAACCAAAGGGGUGUGGCCACCCUUACAGGUCCACAGACCAGAUGCCUACACCUGUCCACCACCACAGGCGCCUUUCACUAGCCUGUCCAGAAGGGAGGAAGCCUCUCUCUACUUGCCAGUAGACUGUGACUCUGCCCACCUCAUCCAGUAACAUAGAUGUCCUCACUUUACUGUCAACCUGUGGCCCUGUUAGCUCCCAUGAGCUCACAAAAGCUCAACUUUACAGCAAGAACUUGGACCAACAAAGGACUAUCCACAGUGACCAGUCCAUCCAGCUGCCCACCAUGAGGAGCCAGGAAUGUGAAGCAAGUUACUGGUCCGGGUGAGUCGUCAUCAUGUGACUGCAGGCUGCGUGC